rnacentral:lncRNA from 1 species
CUAAUUCAAACACAGUUACGGAUAGCCCAAGGAGAUUUGGGGGAGAAAAACCCUAACCCGGCGAUUACUCAAGAACCACCUCAUCGCAGCGAGACUAACUAAGAUUCGGCACCAUCUAAGAGGUAUGAACUCAUUUCCUUCCGUAUUAACAUAUAUGUGUGUGUUUUGCUUGUUUGAUUGAUGUGUGUUGCACUUUAAUUUGUUGAAUCGCAUGUAUACUGAGUCGUAUGUAUAUGUUUAGUUUAAUUUAUGUGUUAUUGUAAUGUCACAGUAUGGAUUCGUUGGCUAGUUUGUUUGUGCACUACCAUGGGGAUCUGUUGUAUGAACCCUAGAUUCAAUACAAAGGUGGAGUAGUAGAUGUAAUUCCUGGGUUUGAUACGGACGAGUUUUCAUUUAGAGAUUUGGAUGAUUUUGCUAAGAGUUACGGUUAUGAGAAUACUGAUUUGGUUUAUUAUAAAAAAGGGAUGGAUAUUGAGGAUGGGGUGAAGUUGUUGUAUGAUGAUAGUGCUGUGAGGGAAAUGGUAGCUAUUCACCUACCCUUAGGUAGGAUAGAUUUGUAUGUUGAUCACUACUCUUUUGACAACCCAUUCAAAGAAAUGACAACCAGUGACCUCCUACGAAUUUGUUAUGAAAUCACAAAUUAAUAACGUAUAUACUUACAAACUUCAAGCAAAUACAAAAAAGCUUCAAGAUUAAUAACUUGGGCCUAGCACAAGCGAAGAACCUCUUUCCUGGAUUACUGUAAGUCCAAUAAGUGUUCAUCCUUGCCCUCUUACCACACAUACAAUACUUCUGUUCCGGAUUCAUUGAAGCAGAUGAAGAACCUCCUUCUUGGCUCGUCAUGAUACUUUCAGCUUGGGGAAUAAGAUAUUGAAGUUAGGUUACACAAUGAAUUUGGGGGUUUGAGUUUUGGUACAAGAACCCUAGCAACAACUAUAUAUACUACCGUAAUCUAUCGAUAGAUACACCACAAAAACCACGUAGGACAACACCUAGCCGUUACAAUUCACUGUGUCCAACGGCUACAAGCCACAUCAGCUAUCCGUCAAGUCAAACGAGCUUGACUAACGAGACACUCAUUAUUCUAUACUAAAGUGGUGCAACUUAGACCCCGUUAAAAACAAUCAAGCUUUUGAUACAUAGGCCUCACUUCAAUGACUACUUUGAUAUUUAACCCCUUGUUAAACUCUUUACUUGGGAGGAGGGACAAUCACAUUUAUACCCUCUUUCUUAAAGGGGAAAAAACAUGUAUUCACGUUAAAAUAAUUGUAAAAAUCGGUAAUCAAUUAUCGAUUAAAAAUUUAUCAAAGACCUUUUGGAUGAAUCAGAGAUUUUUGGAUAAAUUGAGAAUUUUUGUCAAAUCAGAAUGUCAUCGGUGAUAAGUUUAUUAUUAAAAAAAUUUAAUAGAUCGGGAAUUUUGUUUUAGAACACUGCUUUAAAGGAAUGUAUUUUCAUAUCUAUAGUUAUAUGAAUACAUCAACAACUUUUAAGUAUUUGAAACAUAUUUUGACAAGAAAUGUGCCAAUGAGUAGCUAAAAUUUUCCCUACCUUAUAAUUUGCUCACUAUCCAUCUUGUUGACCCCCUUUUGAAAUGAAAACCAACUUAUAAAGCAGACCUUAAUACAAAUUUCAGGGUUAAAACCAAGACAGAUAUUACUAAUUAGUAAUUACUAAAGAUGAGAGGAGUAAUCAUGUAAAAUAACUAUGAUCCUGUACACGUCAAAUGUUACAACAGUCAAGAAAAGGAAAGGAGUAGGUUAUACUUUUAAUCGAGCGAAUAAUCUUAUAACCUAAUGUUUCUUUUACCAGGAGUUGCGGUUAAUUCUCCGUAUUCUCCUGCGAAACGGUCGACAUGCCUCAAUGCUGAGGUCAACAGCAGCAGCGAGAGCCAUGAAAAUGGCAGCAUCCUCGACGCAUGUAACAUGUCGCAUGGCUAACUGCACUAAUGGCUUGCUGCUCUUGCCUUCCCCCUGUACUCUGCAGCUCAUGACAAAGCCUCCUAUGGCAGGACUUAGUGCUGCAAAGUCACCACUGCUUUGCGGGCUUGGUAAGGGAGUAGCUGCAGCACGAACCUGUCUGUCUGUGUCGAUGUAAAAUUCCCCACCCUUUUCAGCAUUGAUGAGGAUUUCAGACAUAAGAAGUUCUCCCCCUUCUUGGCCUUCGGAGAGCAGGUGAAAACGGCAGCAAAUGGUGUCUCGGAUACCACGUUCACGCCAUGCUUCAAGCUUACCCCAUGGGAGCCAACUGUCAGGUCUGCAAGCAUCAGGUCGAACAAUCAACCAAGCUCCUGGGUUGGAUCUGGCAACCCAAUCACAACCUGUUGAGGGCACAAAGGGAGUUGUUAUAAAGGCUGCUGCAACAGCAGAUCCAGAGAGAUCAUGUAUCUUCACCUUCCAUCCCUUUCUUUCUCUUUUAUCAGCUUCUUGGUUGGAACCAUCGAGAGAACUUGACCCAUAGGCACUUAAUGGAUCUACCUGAGAUUGCCUAAAAAACACAUUAACAAUAUUACAACCCAACAGGAACUCGCUGAACGUUAAUUUACUGUUCUCUUCAUAGAAGGCUAUCACUAAUACCAUAUUAAAAAUAUAUAGGUAUCAAUGCACAAUACCAGAACAGAAUGGAUACUCUUGAAACCCAAUUAUCGGUUUACUAUAGAAAACUAAAACAAUACACAUACAAGAACAUCCACACUUAGCAUCUUUACCUUGCUUGCAAACAUGCCUAUUAAUAUAAAAAGAAAACUAUAAAUGCUAUAACAUCAAAACCUAGCACAUAUACACAUAAACGUCUUCCUUUUUUGGGGCCGGGGUUCUAGUUAAAUGAGCAACAUUUCUCAAAGGAAAUUUACGUUUGCCAACAUAAAUAUAGUUGAUUCAGAUUAUUAAGCAUUUAUUACAAUAAAGAACACAGCUUAGUUCCUUAAUAUAUUUCAGCUUAAACCGUAUAGUACAGAGUUAUUAUGUAAAUUACCUGUCUCGAGUAAACUUGCAACUGAAAAUUGGCUGUCUGAUAUUGCCUUGAAGCUGAACUAUUUGGGGGCUCAGUUUCGUCUCUUCCUCAAAUUGGAAGACGUAUCUCGGAUCUGGAUCCAAUUUAACUCUCAAAUGAAGCUCUGCU